UACGUAGGUGGCAAGCGUUGUCCGGAAUUAUUGGGCGUAAAGCGCACGCAGGCGGUCCCAUUAGUCUGUAGGGACAGGGCACGGCUCAACCGUGUCAGGCUUACGGAAACUGUGGGACUUGAGGGCUUCAGAGGGAUGGGGAAUUCCGGGUGGAGUGGUGAAAUGCGUAGAGAUCCGGAAGAACACCAAAGGCGAAGGCACCAUCCUGGGGAGUCACUGACGCUCGGGUGCGAAAGCUAGGGGAGCGAACGGG
rnacentral:rRNA from 1 species